UAUGAUUUUAUUAUAACACAUUAUUAAUUAAACUAAUUAAAGUAAAUAUCCCUUUGACCCUUGACUUCAUAAAGCUCAGAUAUUAUCAUCUUUCCCAAAAAUCUUCUCCAAACCCUCCGUUCUACGAUCAUCUUCAUCAACGAUCAUCUUCUCUGGACGAUUACAAGGAUUUUAGUUGCUCUGUUCGAAAAGAAUGCUCCACUUUUGAUCCUGAUGUAAAAUACGGUGAACAAUAACUUGACCACAAAUCAUAACCGCAACACAUAUGUUUAUGGUCCAUUUACAAGAUCACAAAAUCCAUUUCAAAAACGGUGGUUCAGACUCGAGCUUUAAAGUUUUACAAGAUUUAUACUCCUAAAUGGAUCAAUCAUGAACGUGUAAGAAUAACAAAUUAGCCACAUUGGAAGUGUGACAAAACCAAAAAACAAAUUUAAGUGAAACCCCAUCAUUUUGAUCACUAAUCCGGCUAAUAAAAAAAAAUUCGAACCAGAAACUGAUGAAUUUGUUGCAUUGAUUCUGUUAGAGGACACAUGUCGUGACUUUUUAUGUACUGGACCUAUUGGUCACCGGGUUCAUGUCGAAGACAAUCCCCCGUCAGCCUCGCACUCUCGGACGCGAUGUUCGAUCGGGCCCCGGCCGCCGCACAAGCUGACUUGAUAUCUUUUAUUACUAUUUAUAGAUAAUCUUUAUCUAACUUUUAAUGAAUAAAUUUAAUAAACGUCACAUGCUCCUAAUGUAUAUCACCCUUUAUUAUAAAUG
rnacentral:lncRNA from 1 species